rnacentral:snRNA from 1 species
AACCUUGCGCAGUGGCAAUAUCGUAACCAAUGAAGGUCUCCUGAGGUGCGAUUAUUGCUAGUUGGAAACUUUUACCAAUUUGUUCAGUAAAUUGACACUUUUCCUCUUAUGGUGUUCUAUUAAUUUAGAAAUUUAGUGAUACAUUUUAUUGU